rfam:Triticum aestivum genome assembly, contig: Triticum_aestivum_CS42_TGACv1_scaffold_592289_7BS
CAUGUACUCCCUCUGUCCGGAAAUACUUGUCAUCAAAAUGAAUAAAAAGGGAUGUAUUCAGAUGUAUUUUAGUUUUAGAUACAUCAUUUUUGUCCAUUUUGAGGACAAGUAUUUUCGGAUGGAGGGAGUACGUG